UUAGCUUCCGAUAUUCUUUAUUAUGUUAUUGCGUUCCUUCUGCUUUCUUUUUUGGAUGAAUUUUUCUCUCAACUUAGCUUCCCAUAUUCCUUAUUAUGUGUAUUGUGUUUCUUCCGUUUCAUGUUUUUUGGGUGGGUUUUUCGCCUUCACGCAGAGUUACAACAUAAUUCCUGCCACUAUUUACUAUACUUGCAUGCAAACCAUCCACCGCACAGCUGUUGUAGCGGGAAAAAAUAUGAAAGAAGUCGGCCCAGGGCGAAAAUCGUGAGUGAAGUCGGCCCAGGUGUGACUGUAUCAUCGAAUGGCUGGGAUGACAGUGUGCAUGUCCCUACUUACAUCUAAUCCACUCACGCGCCGUCUGACAAAAAUUGCGAACGAAGUCGGCCCAGGUGGAAAAAUACAGAACGAUAAGGGCACGUGCAGUUCUCCGGCUCGCUGGUAGCCACGCGGACACCCCGCCCCGCCUCGCCUACUUGCAUGUAAACCACUCACGCAUCACCUGAAAAAAAAAUUGCGAACGAAGUCUGCCCAGGGUAAAAAAUCUCCAAAAAAGUCGGCCUGGUGUUGUCAUUGUGCAUGCCCCUCCUUGCAUGUAAACUGCCCACGCGCCACAUGAAAAAAAAAAGCGAACUAAGUCGACCCAGGCUGAAAAAUAGCCAAAGAAGUCGGCCCACGGUGCACAACCAUAAGUGUAAGCUCAGCUCUUCGGCCCACUGGUAAGCACACAGACAGCCCCUCACUUGUGCGCUGGAAAAAAAUUAAAAAAUCACCAACGAAGUCGGCCCAGGAUGAAAAAUGCACAACGAUAAGGGUGCACCGAGCCCGUCGACCCGCUGGUAAGCACCCGGACAGCCCCUCACCUGCACGCCACCCACCGCGCGCUUGUCUUUUUCAGUAUUUACUCCAAGUCCCGUUCUAUUUGAAGAAUGUAAGUGAUUAUAAUGCAUAUGGAAGAGGUGUUUAAAUUUGAUUUCUUGUUUCAGCUCCAGAGUCGUCGCCGCCAGUAUGUGUGUAUUAUCAGAAUUUUGUUUAAUUUGACGUUAAUAUAUGAGUCCGAUGACUUUGUUGGAUUGAAUGAUUAGUUAAUAUUAAUUGUUAGUAUCUUUUAAGCUUACACACCGGUGUCCGACGAUAGUAGUAAAUUUUUGAUUCGCAACGUAGUUCUUUUUUCUCACGAAUAUUGUCUUUUUCAGUAUUCGCUACAAGCCCCUUUUCAUUUGAAGAGAGUAAGGAAAUAUAAUGAAUAUGAAAAAAGUGUUAAACUUUGAUUUCUUGUUUCAGCUCCAGAGUCGCCUCCCCCGUUAUGUAUGUAUUAUUGGAAUAUAAUUGCGUAUGUUUAGUUAUAAUUAAUUGUUAAUAUCUUUUUCAGCUUACACACCUGUACCGCAGCCAACCCAGCCGCCAACCGCAGAAUAUCAUUGGAGUCCGACACAGGAAUGUAUGUAUUAUUAUAAAACGAGUAUGGAUGUUGAUAAUGUGACUAUCUUUUCAGAUUACCCAACGUUGGAUCCAGUGAAUUGUAUGUAUUAUUGAAAUGAAUAAGUUUAUAUUAAUUUAGAUUCACUUACAGAUUACUGGAGUCCGCCGCCACCACACUGUCAGUGUUGUGCCCAACGUGAGUUAUCAUGUGGUCGUGAAGGUUUUUCGGUUGGGUUUUUCUCCUUCACAUGGUUGGCAUCACGAUUGGCACAAUUCCCAGCACUAUUGGCUUUAAUAAAUAUAUUUCAACUUGAUUGGCAUUACAAUUGGCAUUAAUAAAUAUAUUUUCACUUGUACCUUUUGUGUAUGACUCCUCUUUGCAUGUCUAUGCAUGUUAUAAGCGCGCGGACAACCCUCCGCACACGCGCCGCCCGCCGCGCGCGGGAAAAAAUCGCGAAAAAAAGUCGUCCCAGACGCUGUGGGGGUUCGAACCAGGCACCUAGAGGAACUAACUCUCAUAAGUCCUAUACUACUAACAUCCACAGCAGCAGAGCAACAUGCAGUUUUGAAAGCUCUACGCCACAUCAGAAAAUCGCAAGCCGGGGCAUGGGUAGCGUCCUCCAACUCCAUAGCGGCCCUCUACUCCAUCCAAAAGCAGGACCCACAGGACCGUAUUGUCUACAACAUCGUGAAGGCGCACAGCAAAGCCGAAGCCUUAGGACGCAAUACUUAUCUUCCAAUCCCUCGCCAUGUUCCCUCCCUCGGAACCGCACGGGGCCCCAGUUCGUCUAAUGUAUGUGUUAGGCAGUCCCAUUUCGUUUACUGAGGCGUAUAUAGGUAUGAUGUGAAGAAUAAAGGUGCGUCUCCUUUUCCGUUGCACCUGGUGCUUGACCAUCACUGGAAAUCGCAUUUUAAGCAAAAUGCCUGUUUUUCCUGCACUCCUAUCGUGCCUACCUCACCUACAAAUACUAAAACACAUUCGCAAUGUUGAAAAAGGAGGUUGUAUUUUACCUUCAAGGUUUUCAGUCGCGAAGCACGAAGCCAGAAGAAAUUGAACACGUUUUUAAAGGGUAACGAGCGUAUAUAGUUCAACGGCAAUGAUCAGUUAAAGUGUUGUCACAGUUCCCUCUGAUGCUCAGGAUGCAUACAACUGUCCCCCAGUACCCCACUGCUUCCUGUUGUUCUCUCUCCACCUGUCCAUUAUUGUCUUUGUCCUUGUCUCCACCUGUAUUAUUGAAAUGCAAGUGUGGUUUCAUAUAAUAACAAUAGCCGCUUUUUCAGGUCAGUGUUAUGCCCAACGUGAGUUAUAGUGUGGUGAGAAAAUGUGAUGAUGUUGAUUUUAUGUUUUCUUUCAAGGUCGGAAAUGAAGGAAUUCAUUUAAAAUGUUAUUGAGGACACAUUAAAAGAAAUAUUUGGAGAUUAAUAAAUGCAUAUAUUCUUUACAUGUACUGUCUUGUGUUUCUUCUGUUACAGGUCGUGAAGGUUUUUCGGCUGGAUUUUUCUCCUUCACCUGAUUGGCAUCACAAUUGGCACAAUUCCCAGCACUGUUGGUUUUAAUAAAUAUAUUUCAACUUGAUUGGCAUUACAAUUGGCAUUAAUAAAUAUAUUUUCACUUGUA